UGGAAACAGAUGCUAAUACCGGAUAACAACACUAGACGCAUGUCUAGAGUUUAAAAGAUGGUUCUGCUAUCACUCUUGGAUGGACCUGCGGUGCAUUAGCUAGUUGGUAAGGUAACGGCUUACCAAGGCAAUGAUGCAUAGCCGAGUUGAGAGACUGAUCGGCCACAUUGGGACUGAGACACGGUCCAAACUCCUACGGGAGGCAGCAGCC
rnacentral:rRNA from 1 species